rnacentral:lncRNA from 1 species
ACAUACACACUUAACCUAAAGUUUCUAUACACGAAAAGUGAGACGAGACUAUGUAGUAGGCGGCGCAGUUACCACAAAUUUCUAUCGAGUGGAUCAAAGUCAGAUAAUGAACGAUUACGACAAUUAUAUCAUUAUGAUGCCGUAGAGGGCGCUUUGAUGUAAAGCUCAGCACAGCAGACAGCAGCUGAGUGUCUCUGCCUGCACGCAUGAUCAAAUAGAGGACUGUUGUAACUCGCAGGCAACUGGCAAUGCGUAUUGCCCGGACGAGAUGUUUCAGUUAGGCAGUAAGAACUCUUGGCGAACUGAUCACAUCAGAAAGUUUAGUUGCAGUCCGCAGUGUCAUCCGCAGACAACAGCAAUAAUAGUGGAGAUAGUCAUUCUUAAUGGCAGCUUAUUUAGAUGAAUUAAAUUUGAAUGCCGACAGUUAACUUCUGAGAUGUGGCAAACGUGCGUGAUCAAUUUGUUCAAGUUCAGCCACCGUCAGCAACUGUAUGUUAAAAGCGCGUUCGCACAAGCCAAACUGAUAAUCAUGGACCAAGAAUCGGAGGUUCGCACAAUCUGUGUAACACAUCGGUAUUAUGAAGCACAGAACAUACCCCCUAGGGGGGAUAUUUUGUGUUAUGAAGGUCUGUUACAUUGCAAAGUUUUGCUGCUCUACAUUCUUCGAUGGCCGUCGGGUCUUUAAAUCCAUCAUAAUUAGUUUGAUUUCAACUUCAAUGGAACAACAUGGAAUGUGUUGUUAUGAAUAAAAGUGGCGUUAGAUUAGAAAUGACCAAUCGUGGUAAAUGGCAACGUUGGACUGUCCUUUGUUUAGCUGCUCCGAGAUGGAACAGAAGACUUGACUGAAUUUUAAUUUAUGCGCUUCAAGGACAUUUGUUUUGCCGGACAUAUUCUGUAACGGCGGCUCCCACUCCGGCAUCUUCGCGCCUGAGGCUUGGGACGCACAUAUGCACUUUGAAUUCGACAUUUUUCUCUUAGUGC